CUUAAUGUUGAAGUCAUUGUUGCUGUGGUUUUCCCAGCUCUCAGUGAUUCACAGCAUAGAGAGCAGCUAUCUGCAGCUGCGUGAGAGGACAUGAGCUGACUGCGCCUCCUAAAUGAUGCAUUUAACCCAGCUCCCAGAAAAUGCUGGCAGACAGAACGUGGGUUUACUACUUUGAUACUUAUGGGGAAAGACUGGGGAAGGAGGAGGAGGAUGUCCAACUGUUCGGAAGGGGAAUAUUUAAGGAAGAUGCAGAAGAAGAAGCAGUCGGCAACUGGUACGCCUAACCUACAAAUGUCAGCUUUACAGAAAUCCCCAAAGUGUAACCCUUCAAUCCUUCAAUAGUGCUGCUGGAUAAAUCUACAGGAAUGUAUCCCAUGCCUCUGUCAAGCAGGAUCCCCUCUGAUCAAAGCAAGUCAGCUCUCCCUUAUCCAGACUUUCCUGGUGAAAACACACACCAGCCUGCCUUAACCCAGAAGGAUAAGAACACCUCACUUUCCUGUGAAAACAUGAGAGGAAAGAGUUGGACUGUUCUCUUCAAAAGGGAAUUUGUCAUGACAUCCCUGCAUCUACAGCCAAAAUGUCCACUGACCACGAGGACCCUACUUUCACCUUCAUCCAUGGAAGAAUUUAAUUAAUCUUUCUAUAUUGGCAGGCGAACAACAUUUCCUGAAGAGAAAAAUAACUGUUAAUUUCCAGAGGUAAUUAACAGUCACUGAAUGAGACUAAAGGGCUUUCAUCAAAAUUACCAAUCAGCUCAAAUUUGAAGAGAUUCUCUCCUCCUCAUUGCAUCUUCAUCUCAUCCAGCCAGUCCUGCUGAAUUAGUGCCUAAUAGAGUCUCAGACAUAUUCAUAUCCUGUCAAAUUCCCAUCCUCCCAAGGAACUGUCCCUUUCAAAUGGUAAUACAGAGGGCGUAUGAUGUGCA